rnacentral:tRNA from 1 species
GCGGGCGUGGCGAAAUUGGCAGACGCACUGGAUUUAGGUUCCAGCGCCGCAAGGCAUGGGGGUUCAAGUCCCUUCGCCCGCAC